UGUCUUUAAUUGAGGACAUGUAUGUUCAUUGUUAGAGCGGUCACUUGGCUAUCUUGUCAAUAUAAUUGAUCAUCUUUGAUUUAGUCUCGUGACAGCUGGCGCUUUCAUGGAGAUCAUAUUUUGCUCUGGUCGCAGUAACUCAUUUAGUUAAUGCUGAUGACGAAAAGGACGAUGACCAAGGGCAGUGUUUGGGUGAAGUGAAUUAACAGUACAUAGGACCUGAACCCUAGGACCAUGCCUCAGGACUACCUGGCCUGAUGACUCCAGUCCACCUGGUUGUGCUGCUGCUCCAGUUUCAACUGUUCUGCCUGCGGCUAUGGAACCCUGACCUGUUCACCAGACAUGCUACCUUGUCCCGAACAUGCUGUUUUCGACUUUCUCUCUACCGCACCUGCUGUCUCUAACUCUGAAUGAUCGGCUAUGAAAAGCCAACUGACAUUUACUCACAACCACUGUGAUUAUUAUUAUUUGACCCUGCUGGUCAUCUAUGAAUGUUUGAACAUCUUGGCCAUGUACUGUUAUAAUCUCCACCCGGCACAGCCAGAAGAGGACUGGCCACCCCUCGGAGCCUGGUUCCUCUCUAGGUUUCUUCCUAGGUUCCUGCCUUUCUAGGGAGUUUUUCCUAGUCACUGUGCUUCUACAUCUGCAUUGUUUGGGGUUUUAGGCUGGGUUUCUAUAUAGCACUUUGUGACAUUGGCUGAUGUAAAAAAGGGCUUUAUAAAUACAUUUGAUAGAUAGCUUGGUAAACUAUACUGAACAAAAAUAUAAACACAACAUGCAACAAUUUCAUUGAUUUUACUGAGUUAAAGUUCAUAUGAAGAAAUCAGUCAAUUGAAGUAAAUAAAUUAGGCCCUAAUCUCUGGAUUUCACAUGACUGGUAAUACAUUCUAGGGUCUCCCGAGUGGCGCAGCGGUCUAAGGCACCGCAUCUCAGUGUCACUACAGACCCUGUCACUACAGACCCUUUGAUCCCGGGCUGUUUCACAACUGGCCUUGAACGGGAGUACCAUAGGGAGGCGCAGCGUCAUCCAGGUUAGGGGAGGGUUUGGCUGGUGUCGGCCGUCAUUGUAAAUAAGAAUUUGUUCAUAACUGACUUGCCUACGUAGUUAAAGGUGAAGAAAAAUGAAUGCAUCUGUUAGUCACAUAUACUUAAAAAAAAUGGGCCUCACAAUGGGCCUCAGAAAUACGCUUUUUGUGCGUAUGGAACAUUUCAAGGAGCUUUUGAAACAUGGGACCAACACUUUACAUGUUGCGUUUUUAUAUUUUUGUUCAGUGUAUAUUUUCAGAGUAGCUUACCCAUCACUGCUCACGGGAUAUUUAUGUAUUUCCAGUAUCACUAGCAAGAGAGCAAUUUAAAAGAUUGACCUAUUUAAUUUCCGCAAUAAUUUUAACAAAAGUAACUUUGCACAAUUUUCAUCUAAGAGGACUCUUCGGAACCUUGCCUAUGGAAAAAGGGCUUUUAAUAGGCCUGCAGAUCUACUAUGUGUACAGUAACAAUGUAAAUAGGCCUACAGUAUACCUGCACUGUAAUUAUUAUGUGUACCUAUACUGUAAUAUUAUAAUUGCAAUGUAAAUACAUUUUACAUUGACCACUUUUUACACAGAAAUGGCUUAUCGAUGAAUAAGGGAAGUUAUACCCAGAUACAAAGACUUGCUGUAGAUGUUUGAUCACAGUUUAUACACAUUACUGUACACCUACCUCUAUGCUAGUUUGUGCUAUAUAUUUUAAAGGUUUUGCCACUUAUGAUAUAAAUAGGCAUAGGAUUACUUGUAGAAGAUACUAGCAAGGCUACUCUGUGUAAAAAGUUGGAAUAUCUCUUCAGACACUGUAUUGGUGAAGACAUCUUGACGUAACUUUACAGAGAAUGCUUAGAAACAUACAUGGGUUUCCAUUACCUUGUCUAAUCCAUUGUGUCACAUAUCACAUCAGCAGCAUGGGAGACAUGUUCCAACAGGAUACAAAGGGAGAUGGAGAGAUUUUUUUUAUUGAUGUCACUAAAUAGGGUCACUAUGCUAUUAGCUAAAGAAGUAUAAAACUGUGUUGAAUGAAUUGCAUCGCACAGGACUAUGGGUGACUUAAGAAAACUGCGACCACAUCUGUCUCCUCUAACUAAAUGACAGCUGUAAAAGUCAUUUGCUGGGAUGCAACAGGAUGGGGUGACAUGUUUUAAAUCCUCAAACUAAACUCUCGCAUUGAACCCUGCCAGUUUGAGAGCCCAAGAUAGGGCCCCACGGGACACCAUCCCCCACUCCCUGCACCCUCAACCCCCUAGACCCCCCAGUCCAGAAUCACAGGCGGGCUGAACGCAGGCAUCGAGCUGUAACGACAGUGCACUUGUCUGCCCCGUUAUAAUGAGCUGCUAUUUACAGCAAAUAAGGUGGCUAAGAGAACACAGGCCUAAAUGAAGCACUGGUGAAGCCGCCACUCCCCUGAGGGCAGGGCCGAGGGCCUGGCAGGGAGGCAGGCCGGCAUUGAGGGACUUCUUAUUCCUUUCUCUGUGGACACACUUCUGAGCUUUAAUGGGAGACACUCACCAAUCAAUGGAAUAGGUUAAAGGAGCCAUUGCAUUCCAAUAAAUGUAUGCUGGGCCCACCCGACUAUGGCAUUGGAGUGAAGUGAAGCACAGUGUGACAUAAGCAAUGAAAAGUGCAGCCCUGGAAAUAUUAGGCUAGAAUCUAAUAGGAAAAUAAUACAUCCAGGGCAUGAUAAAGAAGUUGAAUAAUGACUGGAUGUUAGAAUAAAGAGGGUUCUUCUUGGA